rnacentral:rRNA from 1 species
UACGGAGGGUGCGAGCGUUGUCCGGAAUCACUGGGCGUAAAGGGCGCGUAGGCGGCGCGGUAAGCGUGCGGUGAAAGCCCGGGGCUCAACCCCGGGUCGGCCGUGCGGACUGCCGGGCUCGAGCACUGUAGAGGCGGGUGGAAUUCCGGGUGUAGUGGUGAAAUGCGUAGAGAUCCGGAGGAACACCAGUGGCGAAGGCGACACGCUGGGCCAUACCUGACGCUAAAGCGCGACAGCAUGGGGAGCAAACGGG